rnacentral:rRNA from 1 species
GUUGUAGUCUGGAGAAGUGCUUUCCGCGCUGGACCGUGUAUAAGUCUCUUGGAACAGAGCGUCAUAGAGGGUGAGAAUCCCGUCUUUGACACGGACUACCAGUGCUUUGUGAUGCGCUCUCAAAGAGUCGAGUUGUUUGGGAAUGCAGCUCAAAAUGGGUGGUAAAUUCCAUCUAAAGCUAAAUAUUGGCGAGAGACCGAUAGCGAACAAGUACCGUGAGGGAAAGAUGAAAAGCACUUUGGAAAGAGAGUUAAACAGUACGUGAAAUUGCUGAAAGGGAAACGCUUGAAGUCAGUCGCGUCUGCCGGAACUCAGCCUUCCUUUUGGUUGGUGCACUUUCCGGUAGACGGGCCAGCAUCGAUUUCGACCGUUGGAUAAGGGCUGAAGAAAUGUGGCACCUUCGGGUGUGUUAUAGUCUUCAGUCGCAUACAGCGGUUGGGAUCGAGGAACGCAGCGCGCCGUAAGGCAGGGCUUAGGCCACUAUCGCGCUUAGGAUGCUGGCAUAAUGGCUUUAAACGACCCGUCUUGAAACACGGACCAAGGAGUCUAACAAACCUGCGAGUGUUUGGGUGGAAAACCCGAGCGCGUAAUGAAAGUGAAAGUUGAGACCUCUGUCGUGGAGGGCAUCGACGCCCGGACCUGACGUUUACUGACGGAUCCGCGGUAGAGCAUGUUUGUUGGGACCCGAAAGAUGGUGAACUAUGCCUGAAUAGGGUGAAGCCAGAGGAAACUCUGGUG